rfam:Daphnia magna strain Xinb3 scaffold01581, whole genome shotgun sequence.
CAAACGGCCCUUCUAAGGUCCACCAAUUGCUUUCGAAAAACUAAGU